AGAGUUUGAUCAUGGCUCAGAAUGAACGCUGGCGGCGUGCUUAACACAUGCAAGUCGCACGAGAACGCUUCAGCUUGCUGGAGCUAGUAAAGUGGCGCACGGGUGAGUAACGCGUGGGUAAUCUAUCUCUGAAUUGGGGAUAACAUUGCGAAAGCGAUGCUAAUACCGGAUGACAUCCAUUAAACCUCGGUUUUUUGGAUCAAAGGUGGCCUCUACAUGUAAGCUACUGUUUGGAGACGAGCCCGCGUACCAUUAGCUUGUUGGUAGGGUAACGGCUUACCAAGGCAACGAUGGUUAGCUGGUCUGAGAGGAUGAUCAGCCACACUGGAACUGACACACGGUCCAGACUCCUACGGGAGGCAGCAGUGAGGAAUUUUGCGCAAUGGGGGAAACCCUGACGCAGCAACGCCGCGUGAGUGAUGAAGGCUUUCGGGUCGUAAAGCUCUGUCAAGUGGGAAGAACCCGCGUCGCACAAAUAGUGCGGUGCGCUGACGGUACCACUGAAGGAAGCACCGGCUAACUCCGUGCCAGCAGCCGCGGUAAUACGGGGGGGUGCAAGCGUUAUUCGGAAUCAUUGGGCGUAAGGAGCGCGUAGGCGGUCUUCUAUGUCAGGUGUGAAAGCCCGGGGCUCAACCCCGGAAGUGCACUUGAAACUGGGAGACUUGAGUAUGGGAGAGGGAAGUGGAAUUCCUGGUGUAGCGGUGAAAUGCGUAGAUAUCAGGAGGAACACCGGUGGCGAAGGCGACUUCCUGGACCAAUACUGACGCUGAGGCGCGAAGGCGUGGGGAGCAAACAGGAUUAGAUACCCUAGUAGUCC
rnacentral:rRNA from 1 species